rnacentral:rRNA from 1 species
UACGUAGGGGGCAAGCGUUGUCCGGAAUCAUUGGGCGUAAAGCGCGCGUAGGCGGCCCGGUAAGUCCGCUGUAAAAGUCCAGGGCUCAACCCUGGAAUGCCGGUGGAUACUGUCGGACUAGAGUACAGAAGGGGCAACUGGAAUUCUCGGUGUAGCGGUGAAAUGCGUAGAUAUCGAGAGGAACACCUGCGGCGAAGGCGGGUUGCUGGGCUGAUACUGACGCUGAGGCGCGAAAGCCAGGGGAGCGAACGGG